AUGCAAGUAGUGGGGCAGACGGGAAGGAAGCUUGCUUUCUUUGCCGGCGACCGGCGCACGGGUGAGUAACGCGUAUCCAACCUGCCCGCGGCUCAGGGAUAGCCUCGUGAAAACGAGAUUAAUACCUGAUGGUCUUGUUGGUUGACAUCAAUUGACAAGUAAAGAUUUAUCGGCGGCGGAUGGGGAUGCGUUCCAUUAGGUUGUUGGCGGGGUAACGGCCCACCAAGCCGACGAUGGAUAGGGGUUCUGAGAGGAAGGUCCCCCACAUUGGAACUGAGACACGGUUCAAACUCCUACGGGAGGCAGCAGUGAGGAAUAUUGGUCAAUGGGCGAGAGCCUGAACCAGCCAAGUAGCGUGAGGGAUGACUGCCCUAUGGGUUGUAAACCUCUUUUAUACGGGAAUAAAAUGCGCCACGUGUGGUGUUUUGCAUGUACCGUAAGAAUAAGCAUCGGCUAAUUCCGUGCCAGCAGCCGCGGUAAUACGGAAGAUGCGAGCGUUAUCCGGAUUUAUUGGGUUUAAAGGGAGCGUAGGCGGAAGAUUAAGUCAGCCGUGAAAUCCCGUCGCUUAACGACGGAACUGCGGUUGAUACUGGUUUUCUUGAGUGCACAUAAGGAAGGUGGAAUUUGUGGUGUAGCGGUGAAAUGCUUAGAUAUCACGAAGAACUCCGAUUGCGAAGGCAGCCUUCUGGGGUGCAACUGACGCUGAGGCUCGAAAGUGCGGGUAUCAAACAGGAUUAGAUACCCUGGUAGUCCGCACAGUAAACGAUGAAUACUCGCUGUUGGCGAUAUACAGUCAGCGGCCAAGCGAAAGCAUUAAGUAUUCCACCUGGGGAGUACGCCGGCAACGGUGAAACUCAAAGGAAUUGACGGGGGCCCGCACAAGCGGAGGAACAUGUGGUUUAAUUCGAUGAUACGCGAGGAACCUUACCCGGGCUUGAACUGCAGUGGACGGUUUCAGAGAUGAUUCUUCUUCGGGGCCGCUGCAGAGGUGCUGCAUGGUUGUCGUCAGCUCGUGCCGUGAGGUGUCGGCUUAAGUGCCAUAACGAGCGCAACCCUUCUCGAUAGUUGCCAUCAGGUAAUGCUGGGCACUCUGUUGAUACUGCCAUCGUAAGAUGUGAGGAAGGUGGGGAUGACGUCAAAUCAGCACGGCCCUUACGUCCGGGGCUACACACGUGUUACAAUGGGGGGCACAGAGGGCAGCUACCUGGUGACAGGAUGCUAAUCCAUGAAAUCCCCUCUCAGUUCGGACUGGAGUCUGCAACCCGACUCCACGAAGCUGGAUUCGCUAGUAAUCGCGCAUCAGCCAUGGCGCGGUGAAUACGUUCCCGGGCCUUGUACACACCGCCCGUCAAGCCAUGAAAGCCGGGGGUACCUAAAGGCCGUAACCGCAAGGAGCGGUCUAGGGUAAAACUGGUAAUUGGGG
rnacentral:rRNA from 1 species